rnacentral:tRNA from 1 species
AUUUAAAUAGUUUAAUUUUAAAACGUUGAUUUGUGGUGUCAAAAUUAUAUUAUUUAAAAUAUUUUAAAUU